GUCGACGAACUUCUUUAUCACCGAGUGCUUGCACUCACCGAUAAAGAGUUGAGUGGCGAACGGGUGAGUAACACGUGGGCAACCUGCCCAAAAGAGGGGGAUAACACUUGGUAACAGGUGCUAAUACCGCAUAACCAUAGUUACCGCAUGGUAACUAUGUAAAAGGUGGCUAUGCUACCGCUUUUGGAUGGGCCCGCGACGCAUUAGCUAGUUGGUGGGGUAAAGGCUUACCAAGGCAAUGAUGCGUAGCCGAACUGAGAGGUUGAUCGGCCACAUUGGGACUGAGACACGGCCCAAACUCCUACGGGAGGCAGCAGUAGGGAAUCUUCCACAAUGGGCGAAAGCCUGAUGGAGCAACGCCGCGUGGGUGAAGAAGGUCUUCGGAUCGUAAAACCCUGUUGUUAGAGAAGAAAGUGCGUGAGAGUAACUGUUCACGUUUCGACGGUAUCUAACCAGAAAGCCACGGCUAACUACGUGCCAGCAGCCGCGGUAAUACGUAGGUGGCAAGCGUUAUCCGGAUUUAUUGGGCGUAAAGAGAACGCAGGCGGUCUUUUAAGUCUGAUGUGAAAGCCUUCGGCUUAACCGGAGUAGUGCAUUGGAAACUGGGAGACUUGAGUGCAGAAGAGGAGAGUGGAACUCCAUGUGUAGCGGUGAAAUGCGUAGAUAUAUGGAAGAACACCAGUGGCGAAAGCGGCUCUCUGGUCUGUAACUGACGCUGAGGUUCGAAAGCGUGGGU
rnacentral:rRNA from 1 species